ensembl:lncRNA PKD2L2-DT PKD2L2 divergent transcript
AGACAUGAAGUCACUUGUAUUGGCAGUAGCUGCAGGGUAUUAUGCCUGCUGCUCAAAAGUGGCACCAACAGCAGUAAACACAUAUUAGACUGGAAAAUUCUUCUCUUUUUAGCUCGUGGCACAAAAUCCUGAUGGACUCCACGAAAGAAUCCGAAAGUCAUCUGAGUUGGCUAUCUGCACGUUCUCUCUGUACCAGUGAACUUGAACUGUGGCUGUGGCCUGGAUUCCGCAUUCAAACAUGACCAACUGACCUCUGGUUGUAGGGAUGUCUUGAAGAUGCUGAAGAACAAACACAGAGUUCAGAGGAUGGAAGAAACUGUUAUACCAUCUACAAUGAUUUGAAAUGCCAUUUGCAACUGCAGUUGACCGUGGGUUAUUGAAACCACAGAAAGUGAAACUGGAUAACGAAGGGAAACACUAUCCCAGCCUCAACAAGGAGCUUGAUUUGGGCACAGAAACAGGAGAAAGAGACCUGCCUUGCCUCCCUUAUCCAACCGGAAGUAUUCUUCUUCUUCUGUCUUCAAUUUAUUGCAUGAUCACAUUUAUUGCAUGGGUGGCUUCAGGAAGGAUUUUAGGGAUUCCUGGAAAUAAUCAGUCUUGAAAUACUCCCCUCUUCUUCCUUCAUCUAGGAUGCUUCCUCUUCUCUCAAUAUAUUCUCACUUAUGGGUAUAAAGGUAAGUUGAGUCCUCCUUUGAUAUUAACUCUGCCUUCAGUUACCCUUAACUUUCCUUUAGUCAGCUUUCAACCUAGCCUGAAGAGAAGCCUUUGGAACCCCUGUGUACAUGUUGAUGGGAAUGUAAAUUAGUACAGCCAUUAUGGAAAACAGUAUGGAGGUUCCUCAAAAAAUUAAAAUUAGAACUACCAUAUGCUCCAGCAAUACCAUUCGUGGGUAUAUAUCCAAAGGAAUUGAAAUCAGCAUAUCAGGGAGAUAUCUGUACUCUCAUGUACGUUGCAGCAUUAUUCAUAAUAGCCAAGAUAUGGAAUCAACCUAAAUGUCCAUCAAUGGAUGAAUGGAUAAUGAAAAAAUGUGACACACAUACAGACACAUACACAGAUAUAUAUACAAUGGUAUACUAUUUGGCUUUUAAAAAGAAGGAAAUCCUGUCAUUUGCAACAGUAUAGAUGAACCUGGAGGACAUUAUGCUAAGUGAAAUAAGCCGGGCACAGAAAGACAAAUGCUACAUGAUCUUAGUUUUAUGUGGAAUCUUAAAAAGUCGAACUCAUAGAAACAGAGAGUAGAAUGGUGGUUACCAGGAGCUGAGGGGUGGUUGUGGAACUGGGGAGAUACUGGUCAAAGUUUCCAAAUUUCAGACAGAAGAAAUGAGUACAAGAGAUCUAUUGUCUAUCAUGGUGACUGCAGUUAAUAGCAAUGUAUUGGAUUCUUGAAAAUUGCUAAGAGAGUAGAUCUUAAAUGUUCUCACAACAGAAAGUGAUAAGUAUGUGAGAUGAUGGAUAUGUUAAUUAGCUUGAUUUAACCAUUUCAUAACAUUAUCCAUAUAUCAAAACACAUUGUUCACUGUAAAUAUAUAUAAUUUUUGUCACCUAUACUGUAAUUUAAAAAAGUAAAUUAAAAAAAGAAGGAAAGACUUCAAAACCAACACAUUGAAUUACUCCCCUGGUAUAUUGUAAAUGCUUUAAAGCCUCAGCUUGGUUGUAAAUUCUUUAAAGCUGUGUCUUGUACUUUUUCUAUUCCAAAUGCAGAGCUAAGUAUAUAGUAAGGGCUUAAUAUAUUUUUCUUGAUUUAUUAUUCUACAAAAAACAAAGCUUACAGGAAGAGAGAUUGACUCUGUUUAUUAGGCUGAUGAACUAUGCUGUUCAGGCAGAGAAGAAACUUAGGGGACUUGUUGCAAGAAUGUUUUAGCAUUUUCUCAUUCAGCUCUGGUUUACUGGACAGACAUAUUCAGGAUAGUUUACUAAUUCUUUUAGGGCAUAAACACUUAUUCAUUCCACUAAUAGUCUUCUUUUCUAGAAGCUUUUAAAGAUAUGAGAAAUUAUUCUCAAUCCAAAAUGAUUUGAGGUUGGGGGAUAGGAGGUUUUUGGAGUGCUGGUUAGGGGAACCUGUUUCCAGGACUAUCUGGCAAACAUGAAAGUCCAGUCUCCACCCAAAGGACUAUAAAUCAUGCUGCUAUAAAGACACAUGCACACGUAUGUUUAUUGCGGCAUUAUUCACAAUAGCAAAGACUUGGAACCGACCCAAAUGUCCAACAAUGAUAGACUGGAUUAAGAAAAUGUGGCACAUAUACACCAUGGAAUACUAUGCAGCCAUAAAAAAUGAUGAGUUCAUGUCCUUUGUAGGGACAUGGAUGAAAUUGGAAAUCAUCAUUCUCAGUAAACUAUCGCAAGAACAAAAAACCAAACACCGCAUAUUCUCACUCAUAGGUGGGAAUUGAACAGUGAGAUCACAUGGACACAGGAAGGGGAACAUCACACUCUGGGGACUGCUGUGGGGUGGGGGGAGGGGGAAGGGAUAGCAUUGGGAGAUAUACCCUUCCCAAUGCUCGCUAGAUGACGAGUUAGUGGGUGCAGCGCACCAGCAUGGCACAUGUAUACAUACAUAUGUAACUAACCUGCACAAUGUGCACAUGUACCCUAAAACUUAAAGUAUAAUAAUUAAAAAAAAAAAAAAAAAGAAAGUCCAGUCUCCUAAAAGGCUCAUCUGGCAACUGGAGAGAGGGAGGUAAGACCUUAUUUCAUAUACCAGCUUGUUCAACAAUAGACCAAAUUGAUAUGAAUUAUCCACAAACACUGCAAAAAUAGAGGAAAUAAAGGCUGAUUUUCUGAAGUCUUUCCAUGUUUCCUCUCAUAUAAAAGACUUUUACCCACAAUACUUGGUUUAUGUUUCCAUUAUACCUUCUUCUCGAAGUAGCUACUUAUAGACUUGUGUUUGCCUACCUGUCAGAAUGUAAGCCCCUUAAAGGUGAAGGCAUGCAUUAAAAAUACAUUUAAUUCACUACUUUUUUGAGGUAAAAAUAAACACAAGAAAGACUAUUAUUGAUAGUUAUACCAUUUGCUCAAGAAAAGUUGAAAAGAAAAAACAAAACAUCUUUAUGGAAGGAAAUUGCUCUUAUCAAGGAAAGAAUGCCAUACUAUUUAGUCAUAUACAGGAGAUCUCUUCUGCAUGUUCAGGGUGGAAGUCGGAAUUAGAGGAGAUUGGGUAUAUGUAUGUGGGUGAGAGGAAGGAGGAAUAUUAGAAUUUGAUGCCCUUUCCUGCUUUUGGUGGUGUGUUAGUUUGUUCUGAGUUGCUAUAAAGGAAUACCUGAAGCUGGGUAAUUUUUAAAGAAAAGAGGUUUAUUUGGCCCAUGGUUCUACAGGCUGUAUAGGCAUAGCACCAGCAUCUGCUCAGCUUCUGGUGAGGCCUCAAGAAGCUUACAGUCAUAGUGGAAGGUGAAGGGGGAGCUGGCAUAUGACAUGGCAAGAGAGGAAGCAAGAGAGAGGAGGAGGUGCCAGACUCCUUAAACAACCAGUUCACCUGAACUAACAGAGCAAGAACUCACUCAUCACCAAGGCAGUGGCACUAAGCCAUUCAUAAGGGAUCUGCCCCCAUGAUCCAACACCUCCCAUCAGGCCCCACCUUCAACACUGGGUAUCACUUUCCAACAUGAGAUUUGGAGGAGACACACAUCUAAACCACAUCAAAUUGUUUGAUCAGAAUCAUUUUAGUAAUGACAACUAGCAUCAUAUUUCUUUUCUUUUCUUUUUGUUUUUGAGAUGGAAUCUCUCUCUGUUGCCCAGGCUGGAGUUCAGUGGCAUGAUCUCCACUCACUGCAACCUCUGCCUCCUCAGUUCAAGAGAUUCUUCUGCCUCAGCCUCCUGAGUAGUUGGGAUUACAGGUGCUCACCACCAUACCUGGCUAAUUUUUGUAUUUUUAGUAGAGAUGGGGUUUCACCAUUUUGGCCAGGCUGGUCUCGAACUCCUGACCUCAAGGGAUCUGCCCACCUUGGCCUCCCAAAGUGCUGGGAUUACAGGCGUGAGCCACCAUGCCUGGCCUAGAAUCGGUAUUUCUUUACCAAGUAAGUAAAGUGACAUUUACAGCUACUGCCAUGAGAUGGUUAGAUUUUGUUUCGUUUGUGUGUUCUGCAGUGCUUUUGUUGUUCAUUUAUUCCAAAAUGAUAAAACAGAGAAUAGAAACCCUAAAGAGAAUGAAUAAAGAGAGAAUAAGGGAAGGAGGGAAAGAGGAAGAGAGAAAGAGAUUUUCAGGAGAGGAAAAUGUGAAAGCUAAUGUGCAAGAAAAAGCACAAUAGAAAAAUCACAGAUGUUUCCAGAAACAUUACUUUUUAUUCAAAAGAAAAUAUAGUUACUUUUAAAAUUUUUUUUUGAGACAGGGUCUCACUCUUUCAUCCAGGUUGGAGUGCAGUGGUGUGAUCAUGACUCACUUGAUCUCCCAGGCUCAGGUGAUCCUUCCUCUCAUCUAAGUAGCUGGGACUGCAGGUAUGCAUGACCACACCUGGCUAAUUUUUUGUAUUUUUAGUAGAGAUGGAGUCUCACUGUGUUGCUCAGGCUGGUCUUCAACUCCUGGGCAAAAGUGAUCCUCCACCUUGGCCUCCCAAAGGGCUGGGAUUACAGGUGUAAGUUGCUGAGUCCAGCCUACAGUUACAUUUUUAACAUACAAAUAAGCUGCAGUUCAACUUUGAUAGAUAUAGGGGAGGUUUGUUCUAAGAAGUGGUAAAGCUGGUCACAAUUUAAUAAAAGUGACUUCAGUUAAUAGCAAUUUGAACAGUAGCUUAGUGUCUUUUGAGAACAGUCUAGUUGAUUCCCCUGUGUAAGCAACUCUGUGGGGAUGAGGGCUCUUUUAAAAAUGUUUAAGCCACAAGAUAUAUGAGAAGGUUUUAAAAAUCUGGCGCUAAUUAUAAAAAUGCUACUGACAAAGUCUCUGAGAUCCAGUAAUAGAGUCAUAAUGACCUCUUUUUAAUAUACAUAAAGAAUUAGGGAUUAAAAGCCACUUUGUGAGGAAAGCUGUAUCUACAUUGGCCAUUAAUAAGUUUGUUAGAGCAAUUUCUAGCAUAAUUGCUAUGCUAAAGAAUUUGUGGCCAGUUCUAAUAGCAUUGUUAGUGAAUAAAAUGUACUGUUAUCAUAAACUGGAGAUAUGAUUCAAGCAUGGGAAUUAAUUGUAAUUACAACACUUCGUUUAAAUGUUAAGUUAAAACCAGCCCUUCAACUUUAGUCCAAACUUAGUUUGUUAAUUAAUUAAUGAAUUUUAAGGGGGGAUUUUCUGACUUGGCUAAUUAAU